rnacentral:misc_RNA from 1 species
CAACUGCGAUAAGUAGUGUGAACUGCAGAAACCUUGAACACAGAACAUUCGAAUGCACAUUGCGCCAUUGGAGAUACAUCCUUUGGCACGCCUGGUUCAGGGUCGUAACCCUAAAAAGCACAGCGUGUGCUUGUAUGUGCUGCAUGAUCAACCGGUGAGCCCAAACCGUUGUUCGUGCAUUGGUGAUCGGUGCGCCCGUACGGUGUAGAGUCGCGCUGGCAUGGACUUUGAGUGCAAUUCGUUUGCGUCCAUGUUCUGUCAAUGAGCAGCUAGGCGUGACUUUUGCCCGUGUCGGGUAGCGAAUUAAAGCGAAAUCAACAUUUCGACCUGAACUCAGACGUGAACACCCGCUGAACUUAA